UCGGAUUGUAGUCUGCAACCCGACUACAUGAAGCUGGAAUCGCUAGUAAUCGCGGAUCAGAAUGCCGCGGUGAAUACGUUCCCGGGUCUUGUACACACCGCCCGUCACACCAUGGGAGUCGGAAAUGCCCGAAGCCGGUGACUCAACCUUUAAGGAGAGAGCCGUCGAAGGCGGGACGGAUGACUGGGGUGAAGUCGUAACAAGGUAAC
rnacentral:rRNA from 1 species